AGAUUUUUAGUUUACUGGUAAAACAUAUCUUUGAUAAGGAUAAAAUAUUUGGUUCAAUUCCAAAAAAAUCUA
rfam:Babesia microti strain RI apicoplast complete genome